GACAGAGGCCUCGAGCGUUAGGCGGAAUCACUGGGCUUAAAGCGUGUGUAGGCGGGCCCGUAAGUGUCUUGUGAAAUCCCCCGGCUCAACCGGGGAACGGCUGGGCAUACUGCGGGUCUGGGCCGACUAGGGGCAGCCGGAACAAGCGGUGGAGCGGUGAAAUGCGUAGAUAUCGCUUGGAACGCCGAAGGUGAAAACAGGCUGCUGGGGUCGCGCCGACGCUGAGACACGAAAGCCAGGGGAGCAAACGGGAUUAGAGUACCCCAGU
rnacentral:rRNA from 1 species